rnacentral:lncRNA from 1 species
GAGCUUCUGACGCACUGUAUUCCUCCUGAGGUAAUCAUGAAGGUAAGUGGCUCCAUUCUGCAUCCUAACUUACAGAGCUAAGACGUGGACAGCACCCAUGUGGUCAGAGCCUUCCCAGUGCUGAGGGCCGCACGUCUGUAACAUUUCGUUAGCUCUGCAGAGGGUGACUCCUCUCUGUUGGGUGCCAGGCACCAGUAGGGGCCACUGAAGAAGGGAGGGAAGACCUCAGUUGUGACAGUAUGUUCUAGGGAGUGACCUGGGAGACAAGAGAAGACAAUUCCAGACUGUUGUGUGUCUGUAAAGGAAAGAAAAUGAAAGUACCAGUGGGACCCCGUCAUGCACAGCCAAGGAGAGGGAAAGGCCUUUUCUGCUGGUUUCAGAGCUGGGAUGGAGCUCUGUAAGUGCCUGGGGAACAGGCACUCCCGGGACGACACGGCAUGUGCAGAAUGAGGCUAAAGAUAUGGGAUAGUCUCGGCUUUGUACAAUUGGCUGACUGGCCUCUUAGCAAAAUUUACCGACUUGCAAUAUUAGGCCAUUCAUAGGGUUUUGCUUGUUUCUAUUAAAAUUGCACAGUAAUGUGAACAAAUCAUAUUAUACUAAAUACACAAAGAAAAAUGUGCUCUUUUGUAUACAGAAGUUAACACUUUGCAUUAGUAGCAUCUUUCACCUAACGUGCCGUGUGUGUUCAUGCGUGCGUGCGUGAACAAAUCAUAUUAUACUAAA